CUAUUUCGGUGUCAGAACUGAAAUUGUACUUUUAGAACUUUUAAAACACCACAUAACUUUUAUUAACAAUAGUUUACUUUUACAACUACCAUAAUCUUGUUGACCAUUUAAAGGAGAAGAAAGCUAAUUUUUUAGAUUUCCUAUAUUGUCUACUUCCGGUUACUUCUGGAAAAUUUUCGUGACAAUUUGGAAAAAGUAAAAAAUUAGCUUUAUUAUUCUAACAAUUUCAAAUACUUUUCUUGCAUGCUUUAGGGUGGUGCAGCUAUUAUUCUGUGUUAUUUUUGCUAUCAACAGUACAAGCUGACCCUACGAGCAACGACAGUUUUAGCUAUAAAUGUUUUAGCGCCUCGUCUUGCAACUAGUAGUUGAUAUUCUAGGUUUUUAUGUUUUUAAGUGGAAUUCAACUAUUUGAGAUUAGAGGAAAAACUAGAUGGCAUUGAUGUGCGUCCGUCUAUGAUAAAUAUUACGAGUGACAAGUUAAAUUGGUGUUUGUUACAUUUCUACCCUGCUUAGUGUUUCAAAGGAUUUUUCAUCAAAUAUAAACGGUGGAUUGUCACCAGACUUCCUUUGAAUGGUACACCCACUAUCUGCAGCCUUACAGUGAGCUUCAUAAAUACUAUCAACCCCUGAGAUAACAUUACCGUUGGUUGUGAUUUUGCUCUUCACUUUCAUUAUCCAUAUGCAAUUUUCACACUACUUCAUUACCUUUAUGGAGUGAUAUUUUAUCAUCCUGGAAAGAGGAUUCUGGAAAUUGAUGAUUUCUAAUAUACAGCUGCUAUUCAGAAUGAGCUUCCAAUCUGAAGUUGUGAGUGUUUUAUCAGAUUACGGAUUCCUACUUUGAAAACCAAACUAUUUCCUUCUACAAAUGGGUUUUGAAGUAUCAUUUGAAUGAGGUAUUAUGUACUCUAUGAUAUCAUUCUGAAGCCUUUAAUUGGCAUUAUACAAAAUAAAUUACCAUGAAAGGAAGUUCUUGCAGGAAUUGUUAUCGACCGUCUAUGUUAUGCAGUAAUUGGAUCUGCAGUUCAGUUAGAAACUUUCACUUAGAAAUAUGCUCAGCGUAGAAUUUAUAUGAAAAAUGAAAUUUGAUUGGAAAAAGUUCCUGGUAGAGACAAGAGAUUCUAAAAAAUGAUACUGUUUGGAAGGACGACUGGCAAUUUCAAGAUUCAUUUAUUUCCCUCCACGUUAUACUAUUUAUAUAUUUUAAAAAAUUUAAUUGCAUAUCUGGGCUCCCUUCUUUUCUGUGGCCCCGUUUCCCCUUGACUCGUAAUAAGCCCGUAGGGGGUCAUGCCCCUACUGUGAUCAGCAGUAAAGGUU
rnacentral:lncRNA from 1 species